UGAAUAGCUCAGCCGGUAGAGAUUGAGAAUCUUAUUCUCUGGGUUGUGGGUUCAAGCCCCACAUUUGAUUAA